AUUGAACGCUGGCGGCAGGCCUAACACAUGCAAGUCGGGCGAGAAGCGGAAGGGUGAGGAAUGUAUGGGGAUCUGCCUGAUGGAGGGGGAUAACUCCUGGAAACGGUAGCUAAUACCGCAUACCAUCAGAUGAACCCAUAUGGGAUUAGCUUGUAGGUGAGGGAACGGCUCACCUAGGCGAAGAGCCCUAGCUGGGCUGAGCGGAUGAUCAGCAACACUGGGACUGAGACACGGCCCAGACUCCGCCGGUAGGCAGCAGUGGGGAAGAUUGCACAAUGGGCGCAAGCCUGAUGCAGCCAUGCCGCGUGUAUGAAGAAGGCCUUCGGGGUGUAAAGUACUUUCAGUCGGGAGGCGUUACCGACAGAAGAAGCACCGGCUAACUCCGUGCCAGCAGCCGCGGUAAUAC
rnacentral:rRNA from 1 species